rnacentral:rRNA from 1 species
GUGAGGAAUAUUGGUCAAUGGGCGAGAGCCUGAACCAGCCAAGUAGCGUGCAGGAUGCCGGCCCUAUGGGUUGUAAACUGCUUUUACACGGGGAUAAAGUGUGCGACGUGUCGUUCAUUGCAGGUACCGUGCGAAUAAGGACCGGCUAAUUCCGUGCCAGCAGCCGCGGUAAUACGGAAGGUCCGGGCGUUAUCCGGAUUUAUUGGGUUUAAAGGGAGCGUAGGCCGUCUGUUAAGCGUGUUGUGAAAUGUAGAUGCUCAACAUCUGAAUUGCAGCGCGAACUGAUAGACUUGAGUGCGCAGGAAGUAGGCGGAAUUCGUGGUGUAGCGGUGAAAUGCUUAGAUAUCACGAAGAACUCCGAUUGCGAAGGCAGCUUACUGUAGCGCCACUGACGCUGAAGCUCGAAAGUGCGGGUAUCGAACAGGAUUAGAAACCCGGGUAGUCC